rnacentral:rRNA from 1 species
ACUCAAAUGAAUUGACGGGGGCCCGCACAAGCAGCGGAGCAUGUGGCUUAAUUCGACGCAACGCGAAGAACCUUACCAAGGCUUGACAUGCUGGGUAAUCUCGCAGAGAUGCGGGGUCCGCAAGGGAUCCAGUACAGGUGGUGCAUGGCUGUCGUCAGCUCGUGUCGUGAGAUGUUGGGUUAAGUCCCGCAACGAGCGCAACCCUCGUUCUAUGUUGCCAGCGGAUAAUGCCGGGGACUCAUAGGAGACUGCCGGGGUCAACUCGGAGGAAGGUGGGGACGACGUCAAGUCAUCAUGCCCCUUAUGUCUUGGGCUGCACACAUGCUACAAUGGCCGGUACAAAGGGCUGCGAAACCGCAAGGUAGAGCGAAUCCCAAAAAGCCGGUCUCAGUUCGGAUUGGGGUCUGCAACUCGACCCCAUGAAGUCGGAGUUGCUAGUAAUCGCAGAUCAGCAACGCUGCGGUGAAUACGUUCCCGGGCCUUGUACACACCGCCCGU